ACGCUCGACACCUACGGGAGACAGCAGUAGGGAAUCUUCCACAAUGGACGCAAGUCUGAUGGAGCAACGCCGCGUGAGUGAGGAAGGUCUUCGGAUCGUAAAACUCUGUUGUUAGAGAAGAACACGAGUGAGAGUAACUGUUCAUUCGAUGACGGUAUCUAACCAGCAAGUCACGGCUAACUACGUACCAGCAGCCGCGGUAAUCUGAGCGGGCUGGCAAGGC
rnacentral:rRNA from 1 species